UACGUAGGGGGCAAGCGUUGUCCGGAUUCAUUGGGCGUAAAGAGCGUGUAGGCGGCCAGGUAGGUCGGUUGUGAAAACUGGAGGCUCAACCUUCAGAGGUCGACCGAAACCAUCUGGCUAGAGUCCGGGAGAGGAGAGUGGAAUUCCUGGUGUAGCGGUGAAAUGCGCAGAUAUCAGGAAGAACACCCGUGGCGAAAGCGGCUCUCUGGAACGGUACUGACGCUGAGACGCGAAAGCGUGGGGAGCGAGCAGG
rnacentral:rRNA from 1 species